ACUGCUCAGUAACACGUGGAUAACCUGCCCUUGGGUCCGGCAUAACCCCGGGAAACUGGGGAUAAUUCCGGAUAACGCACAUAUGCUGGAAUGCUUUUUGCGUAAAAUGGAUUCGUCUGCCCAAGGAUGGGUCUGCGGCCUAUCAGGUAGUAGUGGGUGUAAUGUACCUACUAGCCUACGACGGGUACGGGUUGUGAGAGCAAGAGCCCGGAGAUGGAUUCUGAGACAUGAAUCCAGGCCCUACGGGGCGCAGCAGGCGCGAAAACUUUACAAUGCGGGAAACCGUGAUAAGGGGACACCGAGUGCCAGCAUCCUAUGCUGGCUGUCCGGGUGUGUAAAAUACACCUGUUAGCAAGGGCCGGGCAAGACCGGUGCCAGCCGCCGCGGUAACACCGGCGGCCCGAGUGGUGAUCGUGAUUAUUGGGUCUAAAGGGUCCGUAGCCGGUUUGGUCAGUCCUCCGGGAAAUCUGACAGCUUAACUGUUAGGCUUUCGGAGGAUACUGCCAGACUUGGAACCGGGAGAGGUAAGAGGUACUACAGGGGUAGGAGUGAAAUCUUGUAAUCCCUGUGGGACCACCUGUGGCGAAGGCGUCUUACCAGAACGGGUUCGACGGUGAGGGACGAAAGCUGGGGGCACGAACCGGAUUAGAUACCCGGGUAGUCCCAGCCGUAAACGAUGCUCGCUAGGUGUCAGGCAUGGCGCGACCGUGUCUGGUGCCGCAGGGAAGCCGUGAAGCGAGCCACCUGGGAAGUACGGCCGCAAGGCUGAAACUUAAAGGAAUUGGCGGGGGAGCA
rnacentral:rRNA from 1 species